GAAACGCGAAAGGUAAUGCGAAUUGCAGAAUUCAGUGAAUCAUCGAAUCUUUGAACGCACAUUGCGCCCCUUGGUAUUCCAUGGGGCAUGCCUGUUCGAGCGUCAUUUGUACCCUCAAGCUCUGCUUGGUGUUGGGUGUUUGUCCCGUCUCCGCGCGUGGACUCGCCCCAAAGUGAUUGGCAGCCGGCGUACUGGUCCCGGAGCGCAGCACAUGUCGCGCAAACGAGUGCCUUGGUACGGCGGCGUCCAUAAGCCCCUCUCUCACGCUCUUGACCUCGGAUCAGGUAGGGAUACCCGCUGAACUUAAGC
rnacentral:misc_RNA from 1 species